AAAUAAUAACGGUGGUGCAGUAUUCUAGUCAGCAAUGCUGUUCCUGAAAGCGGGCCUAAAAAUCCGUUGAGGGCACAUCGAUGAAGUUCCUGGUGUUUGCUUUCGAUGCCAGUCGGGGGUUUAUGCUGGGAGUUAAGAAGACCGGGCGGUCUGCAAAGGCAUGUGGAAGGCGACCCGUUCUUCGUGGAGACCUAUAUGGGUGGUCGGCAACUUGAGUUCGAUUACUCCAUAGGAUUAAACCUGUAUUGCGGUAAACGCUGUGUACAGUGUAGCCUGCCUUGAGUGGUGUCAGGGGAAUAAGGCGGUUUUGCAAUAUCGCAUAACCCUUUUGAAACCUGUACUGCAAAAGAGGCUAGGGGAUGGUAAAGCUGCUGAGGAAAGCUCCUAGACUGUUGAAAAUAAGGCAUAUUGGGGAUUACGGUGCGCGCUAAGUGGCAGUCCGGCCCUGCGUAUGGAGACAGCGCAGCGUCCGACAUAAUGGGAAACCGCUUCUAACGGCGACGGGAAGUGGCGGGCGAGGAAAUCUAGCCGGACCUUAAGGCGCAAAGUUUACUCAAUGUGCCACCACCAUAUAUCUAU
rnacentral:sRNA from 1 species